rnacentral:rRNA from 1 species
UGCGUAGGCGGAAUGAUAAGUUAGUGGUGAAAGCCUCCGGCUCAACCGGAGAACUGCCAUUAAUACUGUCAUUCUUGAGUAUAGUUGAAGUGGGCGGAAUGUAUCAUGUAGCGGUGAAAUGCUUAGAUAUGAUACAGAACACCAAUAGCGUAGGCAGCUUGCUAAACUAUAACUGACGCUCAGGCACGAAAGCGUGGGGAGCAAACAGGAUUAGAUAACCUGGUAGUCC